AACGUAGGUUCCGAGCGUUAUCCGGAUUUACUGGGCGUAAAGCGCGUUCAGGCGGUUUGGCAAGUCGGGCAUGAAAUCUCUCGGCUCAACCGGGAGAGGUUGUCCGAUACUGUUAGACUUGAGGGCAGUAGAGGGUGGUGGAAUUCCGGUGUAGCGGUGAAAUGCGUAGAUAUCGGAAGGAACACCAGUGGCGAAAGCGGCUUCCUGGUCCAGCACCGACGUUCAGGCACGAAAGCGUGGGGAGCAAACAGG
rnacentral:rRNA from 1 species